GAAACUAAGUGAGCUACUUCGAAACAAUCUAAAGAACUAACCCGUCUCUGUCGCAAAAGAGUGGGACGAUUUCCAAGUAGAGGCGAUAAACCUACCGCACUUAGAGAUAGCUGGUUACUCAAGAAAAGAAUCUAAGUUCUACCUUAAGUUUUUAGAUUACACAAAAAACCCAUUAAACUUAAGAGCUAUUCAGAUAAGGCACAGCUUAUUUGAAUAAGGAUACAACCUACAAUACAGGGUAAUUUUUAUUUAACAAAUAACAAGUAGGCUUAAAAGCAGCCAUCUACAAAAAGCGUCAUAGCUUCCUACUACAUUAUACAAAUACCUCCCCCUAUUACUAACCCUUCAAUAUUAUUGAGUAACUCCAUAAACCUAUGGAAAUUAUUAUGCUAGAACUAGUAACAAGAAACAAAACUUCUCCUAAAUGUAAGCCUAAGCCAUCAUAGACAAACUACUGGCAAUUAACGUAAAUGAACCUAUUAUAGCAACUUCACAAGAAAAACCUAUAUUACGCAACGUCACCCUUACACCAGAGCAUUAAAGGAAAGAUUAAAAGA
rnacentral:rRNA from 1 species